GGUAUUUGAGGUCGGAAAUGGCUCCCGACACUCCCUUGUAUGAGGACGGAAGAAGCAGCCGUCGCCCUAGUUGGAGAUGCGUGAGUGCUGACACGCCGCAAGGGAACCUGAGAUGCAGGAUACGCCGCCCUGCCAAAUAUC
ncrna:unclassified sequences skipping-rope RNA